rnacentral:lncRNA from 1 species
CUCUCGCCAAUUUUAACCCUUCGGGUACUACACCCGCCGACGAUGUCUGCUCACCGGUGCCAGGGUGCACCUUUCAUCCCCCUCCUCUCCUCCUCCCCUUCGAGUUUCGUGUCUACGAACAGUAGAAGAACGAUGUACUGUGUGAAUACGAGACAGGGAAGCUCAUUGGCAUAAGAGCCAGCCACGACAUGGUCGACGUUGAUCCUCAUCGACGUAUUCGUCGCUGUAUACGCGAAGAUGAAACUGUGAGAAGUUGGUAAGCAAUACAUUUAAUAUCAAAAUGAUUUUUUGCUGCGGUACAGCGAACGCGAAUUUUUAUACGACGAGCAUGAGAUUAUGAAUUAAGUUUAAUAGAGUUUUGAAUGCAAUUCUAUUAUUGACCAUAAAUGCGAACGUAACGGUAAAAAAAAAACUGACUACUACGUGGUAAAGAAAUAAUAAAGCUUUGAGACAUCGUCAUCUCAAUAACUUUCAUACACAUUUGUAUGUUAUUUUUUUUUUGUAAGAUUCUUAUUGCUAUCUUAUUGGAUUAUUGAUUACUCGCUACAUUACGUUAUUAGCAACAUUUUUAUACUGUUAUUCUUGAAAUGUACGUUGUCUAUUUUUAUGUGAUUUUAUAUAUAUAGAAAAAUGAUAUUAACAACAUUAUUUAUCAGUUUCAAUUCCUGUAAAAGUUUUAUGAUAAAAUAUGCAAACACUGCUAUACAAAA